rnacentral:rRNA from 1 species
UAAUUUGAAGAUGGUAACCUUGGGUUUGGCUCUUGUCUAUGUUCCUUGGAACAGGACGUCAUAGAGGGUGAGAAUCCCGUCUGAUGAGAUGCCCAUUCCUAUSUAAGGUKCUAUYGAAGAGUCGAGUUGUUUGGGAAUGCAGCUCUAAGUGGGUGGUAAAUUCCAUCUAAAGCUAAAUAUUGGCGAGAGACCGAUAGCGAACAAGUACAGUGAUGGAAAGAUGAAAAGAACUUUGAAAAGAGAGUGAAAAAGUACGUGAAAUUGUUGAAAGGGAAGGGCAUUAGAUCAGACUUGGUGUUUUACGAUUAUCUUCUCUUCUUGAGUUGUGCACUCGUAUUUCACUGGGCCAGCAUCGAUUCGGAUGGCAAGAUAAUGGCAGUUGAAUGUGGCUUCACUUCGGUGGAGUGUUAUAGCUUCUGCUGAUAUUGCCUGUCUGGAUCGAGGGCUGCGUCUUUUGACUAGGAUGCUGGCG